AAGCGCUUGCGACCAGACUUGUCGGCGGUGUUCCGCCGGUCUUCUGACCGGUCUACUCGCCGUCGGCAGGCCAGCAUCAUCUGGGGCCGCCGGAUAAAGGCUUUGGGAAUGUAGCUCCCCUCGGGGAGUGUUAUAGCCCUUUGCACAAUACGGUGCGCCUCGGGUGAGGUCCGCGUCUAGGCAAGGAUGCUGGCGUAAUGGUUGUAAGCGG
rnacentral:rRNA from 1 species